GAUGAAGAACGCAGCGAAAUGCGAUAAGUAGUGUGAAUUGCAGAAUUCAGUGAAUCAUCGAAUCUUUGAACGCACAUUGCGCCCUUUGGUAUUCCUUAGGGCAUGCCUGUUCGAGCGUCAUUUAAACCUUCAAGCUAAGCUUGGUGUUGGGUGACUGUCCGCUUCACGGCGGACUCGCCUCAAAAUUAUUGGCGGCCGGUACAUUGGCUUCGAGCGCAGCAGAAACGCGAACUCGGGCCCGUCGUAUUGGCUCCCAGAAGCUAUCUUCACAAUUUUGACCUCGGAUCAGGUAGGGAUACCCGCUGAACUUAAGCAUAUAAAUAAGCGGAGGA
rnacentral:misc_RNA from 1 species